rnacentral:rRNA from 1 species
UACGGGGGGGGGCAAGCGUUUGUUCGGAAUUACUGGGCGUAAAGGGCUCGUAGGCGGCCAACUAAGUCAGACGUGAAAUCCCCAGGCUCAACCUGGGAACUGCGUCUGAUACUGGAUGGCUUGAAUUCGGGAGAGGGAUGCAGAAUUCCAGGUGUAGCGGUGAAAUGCGUAGAUAUCUGGAGGAAUACCGGUGGCGAAGGCGGCAUCCUGGACCGACAUUGACGCUGAGGAGCGAAAGCUAGGGGAGCAAACGGG